GGGUCGGUGGCGUAGCUGGUUAUCGCAUCUGUCUAACACCCACCGUGCGUACACAGAAGGUCCUCAGUUCGAUCCUGGGCCGACUCA
rnacentral:tRNA from 1 species